rnacentral:rRNA from 1 species
GACGAACGCUGGCGGCGUGCUUAACACAUGCAAGUCGAACGGAAAGGCCCUGCUUUUGUGGGGUGCUCGAGUGGCGAACGGGUGAGUAACACGUGAGUAACCUGCCCUUGACUUUGGGAUAACUUCAGGAAACUGGGGCUAAUACCGGAUAGGAGCUCCUGCUGCAUGGUGGGGGUUGGAAAGUUUCGGCGGUUGGGGAUGGACUCGCGGCUUAUCAGCUUGUUGGUGGGGUAGUGGCUUACCAAGGCUUUGACGGGUAGCCGGCCUGAGAGGGUGACCGGCCAAAUUGGGACUGAGAUACGGCCCAGGCUCCUACGGGAGGCAGGAGUGGGGAAUAUUGCACAAUGGGCGGAAGCCUGAUGCAGCAACGCCGCGUGCGGGAUGACGGCCUUCGGGUUGUAAACCGCUUUCGCCUGGGACGAAGCGUGAGUGACGGUAAUGGGUAAAGAAGCACCGGCUAACUACGUG